rnacentral:rRNA from 1 species
CGUCAGGAUGAACGCUAGCUACAGGCUUAACACAUGCAAGUCAGGGGCAGCGAGAGAAAGCUUGCUUCCUGUCGGCGACCGGCGGCACGGGUGAGUAACGCGUAUCCAACCUUCCCCAUAGUAGAGGAUAGCCCGGCGAAAGUCGGAUUAAUACUCUAUGUUGUACAACGAGGACAUCUGAAUUGUACCAAAGAUUCAUCGCUAUGGGAUGGGGAUGCGUCUGAUUAGGUAGUCGGCGGGGUAACGGCCCACCGAGCCGACGAUCAGUAGGGGUUCUGAGAGGAAGGUCCCCCACAUUGGUACUGAGACACGGACCAAACUCCUACGGGAGGCAGCAGUGAGGAAUAUUGGUCAAUGGGCGCGAGCCUGAACCAGCCAAGUAGCGUGCAAGGAUGACUGCCCUAUGGGUUGUAAACUGCUUUUAUGCGGGAAUAAAGUCAGGUACGCGUACCUGUUUGUAUGUACCGCAUGAAUAAGGACCGGCUAAUUCCGUGCCAGCCGCCGC